CCUAUCAGAAGCGACGGGUGUGUACACAAUGAAGGGAUGGAGGCUUCCUGAGGGCCCCAAAGCAUUUUCGUUACCAACGAGGGACCAGGGAUGCUGCAGCUGGAGAACAUUUGCUGCUGAUUCCGAGUCGCCAACAGGUAGGGAGGCCACUUCCCAUCACCACCACCACCGGCGUCAUCAUUGCUGGAGGAGGACUGCCCAACAGCAUCGCUGCUGCCUGCCAGAAGGCCCACGGCGUUGCCACUGGACAGAAGACUGCGGGGGUCUUCUGCCUCACUGCUGCUGACUUGGGGGCUUUCAGUGCCACCUGCCUGAGAGUCCUCCAUACAGUCACUGUCGGCAGAAGGGCCUCCAUCCUGCCAUCACUUUCCCAUUCCUAACAUUUCCGAGACAGUUGUUCCUUGCCCUCCACCAUGCCAUGGGUUCGUGAGGAUGACCCGGUUUGUGGUGGUGAUGGUCCAACCCCUCAGGGACUUUGUCGGACUGUUCUACAGGCCUCUGCUGUUGCUUGGGCUUGUGGGAGUGCUGGGGGCAACUGUGCCCGAUCGUCUAUCCACCGUCCUGUGUGGUUGCUUGGGACAGCUAACCACUUAGUAAUUUCUGCCGUGUGUUUAAUGCUGGUUGAUGCCCGUGUAGUGCAUUAAUAUUACAUUAACAUACACGCAGAGAAUUAUGGGGAGAAUUACUUAAAGUCUCAUCACACACACAAGUCCAGGAAGUGCUGCUACCCUCUUUUAUGCUACAAUCUUUAAACUUAAAAUGAUGUAAAACAAUUAUAUAAGAUGUCUCACGAUGAACAAGAAGAUCCAAUGUCCAAUGUCUGAGGCAACAUCCUUACAUUUUCUCACAGUGCUAUUUUGUAAGGAUGUUAUGAUUUCACUUGGAGACUGGGUUGACUAUGUAAAAUAACCUUUUCACACAAAAAAAAAACUUGAAUUCAGCACAAUAAAGAUUGAUUUAAUUCAGAACUACAACAGUUAAACAAAGUUACCUGUAACAAAAAGAUUAAGAUGUAUUCUUUCAUGCAAGACAACCAAAGAGGUCAAUCCCAAAUUUUGAUGCAGCUUUAUUUGUACGAUUAUGUUGCUGAUAUGUAGGCUGUGGUGCUUUAAGUUCUCUCAAAAGGAAAUGCCAUAGCCUUUUCAGUCAA
ensembl:lncRNA